rnacentral:rRNA from 1 species
CCCUUAGAUGUUCUGGGCCGCACGCGCGCUACACUGACGAAUGCAACGAGCUUAUAACCUUGGCCGAAAGGUCUGGGUAAUCUCCAAAUUUCGUCGUGAUGGGGAUAGAUUAUUGCAAUUAUUAAUCUUCAACGAGAAAUGCCUAGUAAGCGCAAGUCAUCAGCUUGCGUUGAUUACGUCCCUGCCCUUUGUACACACCGCCCGUCGCUCCUACCGAUUGAAUGGUCCGGUGAAGCGUUCGGACCGUGGCCUUUGGACGGUUCGCCGUCUGUUGGCUGCGGGAAGUUCGUUAAACCUUAUCAUUUAGAGGAAGGAGAAGUCGUANCA